rnacentral:lncRNA from 1 species
AGAAUCGCUUGAGUCCAGGAGGCGGAGGUUGCAGUGAGCCAAGAAUGCACCACUGCACUCCAGCCUGGGCAACACACACACACACGAAAAACGAAGUGGUAAGGAUGGAAAUCCUUCUCUUCUUCCUGAUCUAAGGGGGAAAGGGGAAAGUUACAAAACAUUCAGUAUGCUGUUAGCCAUAUAGGUUUUUUUGUAGAUGCCCAUUAUGAGGUUGAGGAAGUUCCCUCUGUUCCUUAUUUGCUACAGAUUUUAUUUAGGAUUGGAUGUUGAAUUUUUUUCAAAUGCUUUUUUUGCAUCUACUGAGAUAAUCAUAUGAUUUUUCUUUUAUAGUUUGUUAAUAUAGUGAAUUACAUUGAUUUUCUUAUGUUAAACCAAUCUUUGCAUUCCUGGGAUGAACUCUGCUUGGUUAUAAUAUAUAAUCCUUUUUAUUUAUUAUGGGAUUUGAUUUGCUAAAAUUUUUAUUAUAAUUAUUUUAUCUGUGCUCAUGAUUGUUACUAGUUUAUAGUUUUCUUUUAGUCUUUGGUUUUUGUAUCAGGGUAAUGCUGGCCUCAUAGAAUGAGUUGGUAAGUAUCCCCUCCUUUUCCAUUUUCUGAAAGAGUUUUGUGUAGAAUUGAUGUUAAAAUUAUUGCUUAAUGUUUGGCAGAACUCAACAGUGAAGCCAUCUGGGCUUGGAGAUUUUCUUCAUGGGAAGGUUUUUAACUGCAAAUUCUAUUUCUUUAAUAGUAUAGAGCUAUUCAGGUUAUCUGUUUCUUCUUAGGUAAGCUUUGGUAUUUUGUUUCUUUGAAGAAAUUUGUCGCAUUUAAUCUAAAUUUUUAAAUUUACUGACAUAAAGUUAUUUAUAAUAUUUCUUAUUCUUUUAUUAUCUAUGGAUCUCUUGGUGACAUAACCUCUCUCAUUCCUAAUAUUGGUAAUUUCAGGCUUUUCUUUUUAACUUGGUCAGUCUGGCUAGAGGUUUAUCAAUUUUAUUGAUCUUCUCAAAGAACUAACUUUUGGUUUCAUAGAUUUUUCUAUUUUCUAUUUCAUUGAUAUCUGCUCUGACUUUUAAUCUUUCUUAUACCUAUUUUGGUUUAAUUUGUCUUCUGUUUCACAUUUCUUUUUUUUUUUUUUUUUUUUUUUUUGAGACAGAGUCUUGCUCUGUCGCCCAGGCUGGAGUGCAGUACAGUGGUGCGAUCUUGGCUCACUGUAACCUCAGCCUUCCAGGUUCAAGCGAUUCCUGUUUCUAAGCCUCCCAAGUAGCUGAGAUUACAGGCAUGCACCACCAGCUAAUUUUUGUAUUUUUAGUAGAGAUGGGGUUUCACUGUGUUGGCCAGGCUGGUCUCAAACUCCUGACCUCAGGUGAUCCACCUGCCUUGGCCUCCCAGAGUGCUGGGAUUACAGGUGUGAGCCACUGUGGCUGGCCUGUUUCACAUUUCUUAAGGUAGAAGCUGAGGUCACGGAUUUGAGACCUUUCUUCUUUUCUAAUACAGGUGUUAAGUGCUACAAAUAUCCCUUAAGCACUGCUUCAACAGCAUCCCACAAAUUUUGAUAGUUUGUUUUCAUUUUCAUUCAGUUCAAAAUACCUUCUAAUUUCCCUUUUGAUUUCGUCUUUGACCUACAGGUUUUUUAGAACUGUGUUAUUUAGUUUCCAAUCUCUUGAGGAUUUUUAAAACAAUAUGUUAUUGAUUUCUAAUUUAUUUCCAUCUCAGUCAAAGAACAUACUUGCCUUUUUUUAUACAUUUAUUGAAACUUUUUUUAUGGCCCAGAAUAUGGUCUGUGUUGGUAAAUGUUCCAUGUGUACUUGAAAAUAAUUUGUAUUCUGAUCUCAUUGAGUUGAAUGUUCUAGGUAUAUCAAGUUGAUAGUGAUGCCCAAGUCUCCUGUAUCUUUACUGAUUUUCUGCCUGUUCUGUUAUUGAGAAAGGGGUAUUGAAACUUCCAACUAUAAUUAUGAUUUGUCUGUUCUCUUUGCAGUUCUCUUAGUUUUUGCCUUCAUAUAUAUAUACAUAUAUAUGUAUAUAUAUAUAUAUUUUUUUUUUUUUGAGAUGGAGUCUUGCUCUGUU